CAGUAGCCGCGGGAAUACGGAGGGGGCUAGCGUUGUUCGGAAUUACUGGGCGUAAAGCGUACGUAGGCGGCUUCGUAAGUUAGAGGUGAAAGCCCGGGGCUCAACCCCGGAAUUGCCUUUAAGACUGCAUCGCUUGAAUCGCGGAGAGGUGAGUGGAAUUCCGAGUGUAGAGGUGAAAUUCGUAGAUAUUCGGAAGAACACCAGUGGCGAAGGCGGCUCACUGGACCGUUGUUGACGCUGAGGUGCGAAAGCGUGGGGAGCAAACAGGAUUAGAUACCCCCGUAGUCCCUGUCUCUUAUAA
rnacentral:rRNA from 1 species